rnacentral:rRNA from 1 species
GUGAGGAAUAUUGCGCAAUGGAGGCAACUCUGACGCAGCCAUGCCGCGUGCAGGAAGAAGGCGCUACGCGUUGUAAACUGCUUUUAACCGGGAAGAAACCCCAGGACGUGUCCUGGGUUGACGGUACCGGAGGAAUAAGCACCGGCUAACUUCGUGCCAGCAGCCGCGGUAAUACGAAGGGUGCAAGCGUUAUCCGGAUUCAUGGGGUUUAAAGGGUGCGUAGGCGGAGCGUUAAGUCAGUGGUGAAAUCCUGCAGCUUAACUGUAGACUUGCCAUUGAUACUGGCGCUCUUGAGUGCGCUUGAAGUGGGCGGAAUGUGCCGUGUAGCGGUGAAAUGCUUAGAUAUGGCACAGAACACCAAUUGCGAAGGCAGCUCACUAAGGCGAUACUGACGCUGAGGCACGAAAGCGUGGGGAUCGAACAGGAUUAGAUACCCCUGUAGUCC